AGAGAGUUCAAGAGUACGUGAAACCGUUCAGGGGUAAACGGGAGAAAUCCUGAAUUCGAAAGGGGCCGGAUUCCAGUCCGUCCAGGUUAUCGGGCCGUCUUGCCCUGCCAGAUGGCGUCGGGCGCCCGGGGCGAUUAACUUCGCUUGCGGUGUCGUCUCUGGCGAUCACUCGGCGGGGUGGCGCGUCUCCGGUUCCGGAGGACCGCACUUCCACCCUUUGUAGAAACGUCGCGACCCGUUGGGUGCCGGUCAAAGGCCCGGGAUGGCAGACCGUGCGUUCCGCGGGGGUUCCCGCGGGCGUGCGGACUCCCGGUGUCCCGGCCGGCUGCCCGACGGUAUGACCAGAGGAGGCGAUCCGCUGGAUGUGAAACGCUUUGGCCGUGUAGCGUCCGGCCCGCCGCCGAAUGGCUGGAGGAUGUGGGUGCCCGUGCUCCGCACGGCCCCUGCCUUCCGCGUCUUCGGUGCGCGGUGUCCUCGGACCGGAUCGAUACUCCCGUCCGCGACGCCCAUCUUCGGAUGG
rnacentral:rRNA from 1 species